CCUCUCGAGGAUGAUCAGCUGAUCUCACAUAUCCUCGCGGGGCUCGACAUGGAGUACCAGCCGCUGGUUUCCGCAUUGAUGCUCGCACCAUCCCGGUCACGCUCGAUGAGCUCUUUGCUCAGAUGAGCAAUUUCGACC
rnacentral:snoRNA from 1 species